CCUACGGGAGGCAGCAGUGAGGAAUAUUGGUCAAUGGACGAGAGUCUGAACCAGCCAAGUAGCGUGAAGGAUGACUGCCCUAUGGGUUGUAAACUUCUUUUAUAUGGGAAUAAAACGUUCCACGUGUGGGAUUUUGUAUGUACCAUAUGAAUAAGGAUCGGCUAACUCCGUGCCAGCAGCCGCUGUAAUACGGAGGAUCCGAGAGUUAUCCGGAUUUAUUGGGUUUAAAGGGAGCGUAGGUGGAUUGUUAAGUCAGUUGUGAAAGUUUGCGGUGCAACCGUAAAAUUGCAGUUGAAACUGGCAGUCUUGAUUACAGUAGAGGUGGGCGGAAUUCGUGGUGUAGCGGUGAAAUGCUUAGAUAUCACGAAGAACUCCGAUUGCGAAGGCAGUUCACUGGACUGCAACUGACACUGAGGCUCGAAAGUGUGGGUAUCAAACAGGAUUAGAUACCCGGGUAGUC
rnacentral:rRNA from 1 species